rnacentral:rRNA from 1 species
UACGUAGGGAGCAAGCGUUGUCCGGAAUCAUUGGGCGUAAAGCGCGCGUAGGUGGCCCCAUAAGUCCGCUGUGAAAGUCAAAGGCUCAACCUUUGAAAGCCGGUGGAUACUGUCGGGCUCGAGUCCGGAAGAGGCGAGUGGAAUUCCUGGUGUAGCGGUGAAAUGCGCAGAUAUCAGGAGGAACACCAAUGGCGAAGGCAGCUCGCUGGGACGUGACUGACGCUGAGACGCGAAAGCGUGGGGAGCAAACAGG